GAUGAACGCUGGCGGCGUGCCUAAUACAUGCAAGUCGAGCGAACAGACGAGGAGCUUGCUCCUCUGACGUUAGCGGCGGACGGGUGAGUAACACGUGGAUAACCUACCUAUAAGACUGGGAUAACUUCGGGAAACCGGAGCUAAUACCGGAUAAUAUAUUGAACCGCAUGGUUCAAUAGUGAAAGACGGUUUUGCUGUCACUUAUAGAUGGAUCCGCGCCGCAUUAGCUAGUUGGUAAGGUAACGGCUUACCAAGGCGACGAUGCGUAGCCGACCUGAGAGGGUGAUCGGCCACACUGGAACUGAGACACGGUCCAGACUCCUACGGGAGGCAGCAGUAGGGAAUCUUCCGCAAUGGGCGAAAGCCUGACGGAGCAACGCCGCGUGAGUGAUGAAGGUCUUCGGAUCGUAAAACUCUGUUAUUAGGGAAGAACAAAUGUGUAAGUAACUAUGCACGUCUUGACGGUACCUAAUCAGAAAGCCACGGCUAACUACGUGCCAGCAGCCGCAGUAAAAC
rnacentral:rRNA from 1 species